AUGCGAAAAAUCUCGACUCACGGAGAGAUGCUUUUAUUAGAUCAAAACCAAACAGAUUCGUCUGUAUAUUUGGUGACUCGGAAUAACUUUGGGCUGAUCGCAUUGCCUUGUGCAGGCGACGUUUCCUUCGAAGGUGUGCCCUAUCAACUGUCGACUGUGAUAUAGACGCUCACAGUGGUUUUGACGGGUAACGGGGAAUCAGGGUUCGAUUCCGGAGAGGGAGCCUUAAAAACGGCUACCACAUCCAAGGAAGGCAGCAGGCACGCAAAUUACCCAAUGAACGAAGUUCGAGGUAGUGACGAAAAAUAACAAUACAAGACUCUUCCGAGGCCUUGUAAUUGGAAUGAGUACACUUUAAAACCGUUCCCGAGGAUCUAUUGGAGGGCAAGUCUGGUGCCAGCAGCCGCGGUAAUUCCAGCUCCAAUAGCGUAUAUUAAAGUUGUUGUGGUUAAAAAGCUCGUAGUUGGAUUUCGGCGGGUAUAGGUUGGUUUGAAUUGCUUCAAUACUGACUUUUUUACCCGUGUGUUUUGCCAGAAUUUAACGGGUGAUCUUCGCCGAUUGUCUGUUAGAACUGACAGGUUUACUUUGAAAAAAUUAGAGUGCUCAAAGCAAGCUUGAUUGCUUGAAUAUUCGUGCAUGGAAUAAUAGAAUAGGAAGUCGUUUCUAUUUUGUUGGUUUUCGGAAAUCGACUUAAUGAUUAAUAGGGACAGUCGGGGGCAUUUGUAUUCAAACGACAGAGGUGAAAUUCUUGGACCGUUUGAAGACAAACUACUGCGAAAGCAUUUGCCAAGAAUGUUUUCAUUAAUCAAGAACGAAAGUUAGAGGUUCGAAGGCGAUUAGAUACCGCCCUAGUUCUAACCAUAAACGAUGCCAGCUAGCGAUCUGACGGCGUUUUAUUUUUGACUUGUCAGGUUCUUUCUUCUUUGUUCUGUUUCUUUUCCUCUGUUUGUUGUGUUCUUUUUUCUCUUCUCUCUCCUCUGUUCCCUUUUCCCUUUUUCUGUUUUUCUCUCUUCUUUUCUCUUCUUUCUUUCUCCUCCUCCCUCUCUAUCCUCCGUCGCCCUUUGCUUCCUUUUCCUCCUCCCCACCUUCUCCCUUCUCCCUCUUCCCUUUUCCUCUUCC
rnacentral:rRNA from 1 species